AUUACUUCCAACUUAUCAGGCCCAUAAACAGAUUAAGGAUUCUGCAGAACUCACGGGGAUCUUCACCAGGAGUAGUGUGGACAAUCUUUACAGAAGACAAAAGUUAACUGUGUAAGAAACCUUUUGCAUCAACGUUUCAGAGCUAGAAGCCUGAAUCUACAGCCUGUCUGCAGAAAAAGAAAAUUCAAACAGUUGUAGCUGAUCCAGAAAGACACCCCAGUACCAAUAGAUUGUGAGUGAAGGUUCUGGUUAAGGAGGAGAUCACGGCUAUCGGGAAUGUUUGCCGGAGUGGAGGGGAUGAUUAGAUCACAGAGGUGUGUUAUUCACAG